AGCCAGUGAUGACAAAACUUUUUUUUCUGACACCUCGUAUGAGAGCUGGACUUCAGCUCCUGAUUCUAACUCUGAUCUGAGGCUA